rnacentral:rRNA from 1 species
GAUGAACGCUAGCGGCAGGCUUAAUACGUGCAAGUCGAGGGGCAGCGCAGUGUAGCAAUACAUGGGCGGCGACCGGCAAACGGGUGCGGAACACGUACGCAACUUACCCUUAACUGAUGAAUAGCCCUCCGAAAGGAGGAUUAAUACAUCGUAACAUUAUGAGGUGGCAUCAUUUUAUAAUUAUGGCUUCGGCGCUAGAUGAUGGGUGUGCGUAUGAUUAGAUAGUUGGCGAGGUAACGGCUCACCAAGUCUACGAUCAUUAGCUGAUGUGAGAGCAUGAUCAGCCACACGGGCACUGAGACACGGGCCCGACUCCUACGGGAGGCAGCAGUAAGGAAUAUUGGUCAAUGGACGAAAGUCUGAACCAGCCAUGCCGCGUGAAGGAUUAAGGUCCUCUGGAUUGUAAACUUCUUUUAUAUGGGACGAAAAAAGGUCUUUCUAGAUCACUUGACGGUACCAUAUGAAUAAGCACCGGCUAACUCUGUGCCAGCAGCCGCCGUAAAAC